AUUGAACGCUGGCGGCAGGCUUAACACAUGCAAGUAGAGCGAGCGGCGGACGGGUGAGUAAUGUCUGGGAAACUGCCUGAUGGAGGGGGAUAACUACUGGAAACGGUAGCUAAUACCGCAUACCAUCAGAUGUGCCCAGAUGGGCUUAGCUAGUAGGUUGGGUAAUGGCUCGCCUGGGAGAAGACCCCUAGCUGGUCUGAGAGGAUGACCAGCAACACGGGAACGGAGACACGGCCCAGACGCCUACGGGAGGCAGCAGUGGGGAAUAUGGCACAAUGGGCGCAAGCCUGAUGCAGCCAUGCCGCGUGUGUGAAGAAGGCCUUCGGGUUGUAAAGCACUUUCAGCGAGGAGGCGUUACUCGCAGAAGAAGCACCGGCUAACUCCGUGCCAGCAGCCGCGGUAAUUC
rnacentral:rRNA from 1 species